CUGGUGGUUGAUUUGUUUCACACUGUUCCUUUGCACAGGUGAGGAACCCAUUGAACUCUUGGCUGAACCAUGUGCUAUCAACAACUUUGACAUUGACCAACAGAACCCCUCGGAUGUGAUAUGUAGUUUAUAGUGGGAGGCUAUUGCCGUCUUGAUGAGGGCAUAAUUUCUGAAACUAAGAUGAAGAAUCCAGUGGCAUAAAUAGGAUCUGUUCAUUAUCCUUUCAGUGUAUCG